GGGAGCUGCAGGAGGAGGAGGAAAUGGAUGAUGCGUGUCAGGAUUCUUUGGAUGAAAAGUAUUUGGCUCUUUCCAGUCACCAUGACUUGUCUGACUCCUGCCACCCUCCCGACAGUCCCACCAUCCCAUCUGAUGAGCAUGAAAUCUGCUCUCGUCUGGAUGGAGCCCAAAGUCAUGAAGACGAGGAGUAUGUGGAAGAGAGAGAACCACUGUCCAAAAUGAACGACCAGGGGAGGGUAAAGGACAGGGAGUUCGAAUUUCUAAUUCGACUUCAGGCAGGAGAGCUGACCCAGUUACGUCUAAAGACACGGGAAGGAAGAGAGCUAUCCCUCCUGCUUAAUCAGAACCUCAAGGAGCUCCUGGGCCGCAGUGACCUUAACAACCUCCGGGGGCAGGCCUUCCAAGAGCAAUUGGCUGAGGGAUGCAGGCUGUCCCAGGCCCUUGUCAGCAAGCUCGGCCCAGAAAACCACGAAGAGGAGGCUGAAGAACAACUGGGAUCGCUGACCCCCAGGAAAUACCAUUUCCUCAUUCAUGAUCAUGCACGAAAGCUGACCCGGAUACGCCAGCCGUCACGGGAAGGAAGAGAGCUCUCUGUCCUCCUCCAUCAGCACCUCAGGGACCUCCUCACCCCACAGUGACAUUGGCAGAGACUGGGGACAGGGCUUCCAAGAACAACUGGCUGAGGGAUCCAGGCUGGCAGAGCGCCUUGUCCGCAAGCUUAGCCCAG
rnacentral:lncRNA from 1 species